AUCAUGAGUCCCGUUUGCACUAAUCCACAAAUUACCGAACAACGGCACGGACCGAACAUAGGGACAGUUACCGAACGACGUCCCACACCGAAUUCAGAGUUCCAGUACCCGCAGGGCCCAUACGGUACUCAGGACCACCCAGUAACAACCCCACUGAACGGCCCCGACCAAUGUGCUUUCGAUGCAAACAACCGUACAACCUCAUGUCAAGCUGUCCUCUAAAC